CAGGACGAACGCUGGCGGCGUGCUUAACACAUGCAAGUCGAGCGAUGAAACUACUUCGGUAGUGAAUUAGCGGCGAACGGGUGAGGAACACGUGAGGAAUCUGCCUUCAACACUGGGAUAACUCCGGGAAACCGGGGCUAAUACCGGAUACGAGCCUUGAUCGCAUGAUCGAGGCUGGAAAGUUUUUCGGUUGAAGAUGACCUCGCGGCCUAUCAGCUUGUUGGUGAGGUAAUGGCUCACCAAGGCGACGACGGGUAGCCGGCCUGAGAGGGCGACCGGCCACACUGGGACUGAGACACGGCCCAGACUCCUACGGGAGGCAGCAGUGGGGAAUAUUGGGCAAUGGAGGAAACUCUGACCCAGCGACGCCGCGUGCGGGAUGAAGGCCUUCGGGUUGUAAACCGCUUUCAGUAGGGAAGAAGCGAAAGUGACGGUACCUACAGAAGAAGCACCGGCUAACUAUGUGCCAGCAGCCGCGGUAA
rnacentral:rRNA from 1 species